rnacentral:tRNA from 1 species
GGAGAAUUAGCUCAGCUGGGAGAGCAUCUGCCUUACAAGCAGAGGGUCGGCGGUUCGAACCCGUCAUUCGCCACCC